AGCAGAGGGAACAGUGCAGAGAGAGGGACAGAACAAAGGAGGUUAGCAGAGGGAACAGUGCAGAGAGGGACAGAACAAAGGAGGUUAGCAGAGAGAACAGUGCAGAGAGGGACAGAACAAAGGAGGUUAGCAGAGGGAACAGUGCAGAGGAGACGGCUGAAACAAGGAGGUUAGCAGAGAGAACAGUGCAGAGGAGACGGCUGAAACAAGGAGGUUAGCAGAGGGAUCAGUGCAGAGGAGAGGGC